rnacentral:rRNA from 1 species
AUAUCAGUCAUGCAUAGCAUAUCAAUAAGCGGAGGAAAAGAAACUAACAAGGAUUCCCUUAGUAACGGCGAGUGAAGCGGGAAGAGCUCAAAUUUGAAAUCUUCAAGGUUUUACCUUGACGAAUGUAGUUUAAAGAAGUGUUUUCUGUUGAAGUUUUGGUAAAAGUUCUUUGGAAUAGGACAUCAUAGAGGGUGAGAAUCCCGUAUUUGACCAUUACUUUCAGCUUUGUGAUACACUUUCAAAGAGUCGGAUUGUUUGGGAAUGCAGUCCAAAAUGGGUGGUAAAUUUCAUCUAAAGCUAAAUAUUGGCGAGAGACCGAUAGCGAACAAGUACCGUGAGGGAAAGAUGAAAAGAACUUUGAAAAGAGAGUUAAACAGUACGUGAAAUUGUCAAAAGGGAAGCGUUUGACACCAGUGUUGUUUUCUCGAAAAUCAAUUAAAAAGAGUUGGAUUUUGUGUUGUAUUGACUUUAUCAGCCUUCUUCACUCUUUUCCAGCUUUUUUUAAUGCACUUUUCGUUUAACAAGUCAACAUCAGUUUCUUUUGUUGUAAAAAGGUCAUUGGAAGGUGGCUUUCUCUUCGGAGAAAGUGUUUAUAGCCUUUGACUCAUGCAAUCGGAGAGACUGAGGUCUGCAGCGUAGAUCCUUCGGGGUUAGAUACAUUUGUGCUAAGUUAUAGCUUUUCAUAGACAACUUGUUGACUAUGUUUAGUCUUGUAGCUUACUCGCUUAUGCUAUUUUACCUACGCUUAGGAUGUUGAACUCUAUCACACACAG